rnacentral:rRNA from 1 species
GAGUUUGAUCGUGGCUCAGGAUGAACGCUAGCUACAGGCCUAACACAUGCAAGUCGAGGGGAAACGGGAAAGCAGCUUGCUGCUUUCUGUCGUCGACCGGCGCACGGGUGAGUAACGCGUAUCCAACCUUCCCAUAACUAAGGGAUACCCCGUAGAAAUGCGGCCUAAUACCUUAUGUACUCCCAUGACGGCAUCAGAAUGGGAGCAAAGAAUUUCGGUUAUGGAUGGGGAUGCGUCUGAUUAGCUUGCUGGCGGGGUAACGGCCCACCAGGGCAUCGAUCAGUAGGGGUUCUGAGAGGAAGGUCCCCCACAUUGGAACUGAGACACGGUCCAAACUCCUACGGGAGGCAGCAGUGAGGAAUAUUGGUCAAUGGGCGUAAGCCUGAACCAGCCAAGUAGCGUGCAGGAUGACGGCCCUAUGGGUUGUAAACUGCUUUUACAGGGGAAUAAAGUGAUUCACGUGUGUUUCAUUGCAUGUACCCUGCGAAUAAGGACCGGCUAAUUCCGUGCCAGCCGCCGCGGUAACACC